GUCCACGCCCUAAACGAUGAUCACUGGGUGUUCGGGGAGCGAUCUCUGAGUACCGAAGCUAACGCGUGAAGUGAUCCGCCUGGGGAGUACGGUCGCAAGAUUAAAACUCAAAGGAAUUGACGGGGACCCGCACAAGCGGUGGAUGAUGUGGAUUAAUUCGAUGCAACGCGAACAACCUUACCUACCCUUGACAUGUCCGGAAGGCCGCCGAGAGGUGGUUGUGCCCGAAAGGGAACCGGAACACAGGUGCUGCAUGGCUGUCGU
rnacentral:rRNA from 1 species